AAGAAAAUGGCAUUUCGAUGACGUGCGACGCUGUCACGCAGUUAUCCUUAACCAAUGAUUUAUCAUAGUAAUGUGAAUGCGUCAUAACGCGUGCAUGAAGAAAGCCGCCACUGAAAGUCGUGCUAAAAAACUUAUUAAAAUACUAAGUUUCACAUUCGAAUAUAAAAAUGGAAACAAUGUCGAAUCCUUAUCCAAAAAAAAUGCACGACACUUAUGAAGAUGAGGAAGAGAGAAAACACUUUCAACGUAUUGUCUCAGCUUUUAAGUAUUACAAAAAUCAUUCACUACUAAGGGUUAAAAAAACAGAAUCCUAUUUGCUAUCACUUCCAGCUCAUCAUCAAAAAUUAUUAUCAAAAUAUAGAGAACAUUUGCAAGAAGUUAAAAGGUGUAUUGAAAAUAAUGAUGAGAUAAUUAAACUUAUCAUUAAGGAUGUAGCACAUAUUUUUGAAAAUGUGAGCCCAACUACUGCACAGACUGAAAGUGUAAGAAAAGUUCACCUGACGUUAAAUCCUCGUCCAGUAAUGGCUGAUCAAGAAAAGGUCCAAGCUACAAUUAAGCAACUUGUUCGUGAUUGGAGUGUGGAAGGUACCGAAGAACGCAUGGCAUGUUAUCAGCCUAUUAUAGAUGAAAUUAUGAAUCAAUUUCCUUUAGAAUAUUGUACACCAUCAGAUGUGCAAAUUCUAGUACCUGGAGCGGGUUUAGGAAGAUUGGCAUAUGAAAUUGCAAGACGUGGAUAUACUUGUCAAGGAAAUGAAUUUUCUCUUUUCAUGCUCUUUGCUUCUCAUUUUGUAUUAAAUAAAUGUAGAGGAGUAAAUUCAUAUCAAGUACAUCCAUGGGUACAUCAAUAUAUGAAUAAUUUAAAACCAGAACAUCAAACCCAAGCUGUAUUUUUCCCAGAUGUAAAUCCUAGCGAUCUUCCAGAAAAUGCACAAUUUUCUAUGGCAGCUGGAGAUUUUCUUGAAGUUUAUACAGAAAAUAAUCAUUGGGAUUGCGUUGCUACAUGUUUUUUUAUAGAUUGUGCAAAUAAUGUUGUACAAUUUAUUGAAACUAUAUAUAAAAUUUUAAAACCAGGAGGAAUAUGGAUAAAUCUUGGUCCAUUAUUAUAUCAUUUUAGUGAUAUGCCAAUGGAAGAUUCAAUAGAACCAAGUUAUGAUGUUGUUCGCGAUGUAAUUCAAGGUUUUGGAUUUCAAUUAGAGAAAGAAGAAACACGUGUGAAAACUCGAUAUGCACAGAACAUUAAUAGCAUGUUGCAGUGUGAAUAUAAUAGCGUAUAUUUCGUUUGUCGAAAACCUAAAAGACAUAUAGAUAAUAUGAGUCAUAGAAAUGGCACUGAAAGUAAUGGUAUGCAAGAACAAGAAAAUUAAUUAAUGACGAUUUUCUGUAUUUUAUAUAUAAAAGAAAUUGAUGUAAUUGUAAAUGAAUUAUAUAAUAGGUUCAUUACUACUAAUAUAAAGCAAAGCUGUUAUACUCUAUAAAUCAAGUCAAUAUUAGGUAAUUUGAAUCUAGAAAAGAUAACAAAAAUCUUUAAAUAUUGUUAAAUAAAUGUUGAACUACUAUUUUUUUAUCAAGAAUUUUAUUUCGCUAUAACUGCUAAAUAUAAUUGUUCUGUUAUUAAUAAAUUGGAUAAUAAAAUGUAGCUAUUUUUUUAAAUAUCGACAGAAGUUUGUUCAAGUUCAAAAUGAUAACUCUACUUUAAUACUAAUAACAGUUUUGCAAUUUUUCUUUGAGUUUAGGUAUGUGAUUUAGCAUAUCAUUAAUGUUUAUUGUUUGAAAUAUUUACCAAAUAUCGUGAUGAUAUGAAAUAAAAGUCAAUUUGGUUGCAUGUGCAUUAUAUGCAAUAUCCUUUUCAAUUGAUUUAAAAACAAAUUUCAUUUAUUGUUAAAUUUAUGUUAUAAACCGAUUGUCUUUUCUAAUUCUAAAUAUGUAAUAUCGAAGUCGCACAAAUAUUGCUCUUUUGUAAUAUAAUUUAUAUAUUAUGUUAUCAUGAAAUAAGAAUUCAGUAAUAUUGUGCAACAAAAAUUUAU